rnacentral:rRNA from 1 species
CCUACGGGUGACAGCAGUGGGGAAUAUUGCACAAUGGGGGAAACCCUGAUGCAGCGACGCCGCGUGAGUGAAGAAGUAUCUCGGUACGUAAAGCUCUAUUAGCAGGGAAGAAAAUGACGGUACCUGACUAAGAAGCCCCGGCUAACUACGUGCCAGCAGCCGCGGCAAUACGUAGGGGGCAAGCGUUAUCCGGAUUUACUGGGUGUAAAGGGAGCGUAGACGGCAGCACAAGUCCGAAGUGAAAUCCCGGGGCUUAACCCCGGAACUGCUUUGGAAACUGUGCGGCUGGAGUGCAGGAGGGGUAGGCGGAAUGCCUGGUGUAGCGGUGAAAUGCGUAGAGAUUAGAAAGAACACCGAUGGCGAAGGCAGCUUACUGGGCUGUAACUGACGUUGAGGCUCGAAAGCGUGGGGAGCAAACAGGAUUAGAUACCCGGGUAGUC